rnacentral:tRNA from 1 species
GGGGAAUUAGCUCAGUUGGUAGAGCACCUGCUUUGCACGCAGGGGGUCAGCGGUUCGAAUCCGCUAUUCUCCAC